GUUUACUACUGGAGACCUGACUGUGACUGAGCGUCGGGAAAACAUUUUUAAGGGAGGAAGGAAUUGCUGCGGCAGCAUCUCCGAGUCUCUCUCCUUUUUCUCCUCUGAGUUACAUAGGAUAACUUGGCCAGAACUUACUGAUGACUGCACGGCCAGCGGAGCCGGGAAUGGGAAAUGCAGGAAGGCGCUCUUUGGCAGGAGCAGAAGAGGAGGCAUUUCAAAGAUCCUGCAGGUGACCGAGGUUGACUUGGAAAUCUUCAGUUUCAAAGAAUGUAAAUAUGUCUGAGUGAGUUCAUAUGGAGCAGAUGGGUUUUCAGGAAAAGGCAUCCAAUUUGAUAGAGUUCCAGAAAAAAACCCCCACAGAACUGGCAGAAGACAAAGUUCAAACCUUUGUUGUGAAUGUUUGCUGGUCCCUAAGUUGAUGCUACUUUGGGAAUUGACUUCAGUUGAGAUCAAGGCUUUGCUUAUAGGCUUG
rnacentral:lncRNA from 1 species